UACAGAGGUCCCAAGCGUUGUUCGGAUUCAUUGGGCGUAAAGGGUGCGUAGGCGGCGGGGUAAGUCAGGUGUGAAAUCCCGGAGCUCAACUCCGGAACUGCACUUGAUACUGCCUUGCUCGAGUACUGGAGAGGAGACUGGAAUUUACGGUGUAGCAGUGAAAUGCGUAGAUAUCGUAAGGAAGACCAGUGGCGAAGGCGAGUCUCUGGACAGUUACCGACGCUGAGGCACGAAGGUCAGGGGAGCAAACGGG
rnacentral:rRNA from 1 species